rnacentral:rRNA from 1 species
GCUGGGUUCAGAACGUCGCGAGACAGUUCGGUCCCUAUCUGUUAUGGGCGAUGGAUGUUUGAGAGGAUCUGCUUUUAGUACGAGAGGACCGAAGUGGACGAACCUCUGGUUUACCAGUUAUCCUGCCAAGGGUAAGUGCUGGGUAUCUAAGUUCGGAAGGGAUAACCGCUGAAAGCAUCUAAGCGGGAAGCCCACCUCAAGAUUAGACAUCCCCGGGGAUUCAAUCCCCCUGAAGACUCCUGGGAGACUACCAGGUUGAUAGGCUGCAGAUGUAAGUGCGGUGACGCAUUCAGUCGAGCAGUACUAAUAAGUCGUGAGGCUUGACCAU